rnacentral:antisense_RNA from 1 species
CUUCAGGGAGCCGAGCCACAGCGGCUGCUCCGCCGGGCGCUGCCCAUAGGUGGCCAGCAGUGCCUGCGCCUC